AUAAACUCUCUCAAACUCCAUACACUCCCCCAAACUCCCAGAACUCAGAAACACCAAAAUCUCUCAAAUUCCCUACACUCUCUCAAACUCUCUCAAAAUUCCUGAGAUUUAAAAUACAGUCAACUCCCCAGAAAUCACUCUGAGGACUAACCCCCUGUUAGGGAUUUAAUGAUUCUGCGAGAUUUUUUCAUAUACUCUGAUUUUUAUAGGGGUUUCUUUUGUUUUGUAAUUCUAAUGAUUUUUCGUUUUAGGAACAGAUGGUUGUUUUACAAAUUGGGGGAGAAGAACAAGAAGAAGUUGGUUUCGGUGGUGAUGAAGAAUACUCAACCAUGGCUGAACAGCUCAAAAGUUUCUGAAAAGGGAAAUCCUCCUGGAAAGGUAUAAAUUUGGAACUGGAAUAAAGUUGGUUUGGGAUUCAAGACUCCUAGCUAUUAAUGUACCGUGCACUUUGUUUUCAUUGUAAGCCUUUUGACACCUAUGAUGCUUCCUAUCAAAUCAAAGGAAAGUCUAGUUUUCCAUGUUGGUUUUCGCCAGUUUGUUGCUAGGUUUGAAGAUGAAUAUCAUGAAGAUAAUUGCAACAAAUUCAGGAGUAGAGAAACAAAUCGUGUGACUCUUGAUGAUUACUUGACAACAGUGUAUGGAGAUUUUCUUCUUCAACAGAGGCCAUCAAUAGAGAACUGGAUAAUUGAUGCAAGUCUAGUUUGAAUCAGGUGUGAGGGAGAUCAAGUUAGAGACAGUGUUCUUAUGUGUAAGCCUCAUGGACAGUUUAAUAAGCCAAGGCUUCUUUAGAAACAAAAAGAAGCUUCAAUUGCUUGGAAUUUCUUGCCUCACCUUAGCCACAAGAAUAGAAGAAAAUCAGACGUAUAACUGGAAACUAUCAUUCACCUGGAUUACUCAGUCAUACAUAGUCUGCAAUAGAUACUCUAUAUAUACAAAUAUGUGCAGUAUAAGGCAAAAGACAUUCUAGAUUGGAGCGAUGUGUAUAGCAGGUGUGAAGUUGUUGCAAUGGAGUGGUUUAGUCGAAGAGAUCCCAACUUCCAAUCUUUUGUGCUCACCACUUACAACUUCUGAUGGUUCUAUCUGUAAGCAACAAGAUCGGAUGAGGAGAUGGAAGACACAGUUAAGAAUCUUGCAGUUCUGUCUUUGAUUGACCCUGAUCUGUUGUGCUACUGUUCAUCACCUGUUGCUGCCUUUGGUCAUUCUUUCAUCCUUGGAAUCCAAUCAGAACUGCUCCUGCCAAAUCAUCAUGGAGAGCAACACUUAAUCAAUCAAUGGUGUUGGGGUGGAUUAUUAAACACAAAAAAAAGAGAGCUAUGUUUUAGAUGAAGUACCGACUUCAUGUUUGUGAGUUCUGUGUUGUUUCUUAAUUUCUUGAUAGUAAUUAAGAAAGUAAAAUAAUCUGCAUAUGUCAUAUAUAUAUUAUUCAUUUGUUUCUUUAAACAUGUCACCUUGCACUUCUUUCCAAGUUUUUAUAAAUGCAUGAUGUAAGCUUCUAUUACUCAUGCCAGAUUUUUAUGUGGUUUUUUCUAGUUGGGGGGCUUGAUAUUUUAUAUCCAAGUGAUGGUACCCAUUGACAGUGGGAUAACAGUUACUGGAUAACUUCUACAGCUUCUACUCAGGAUCAAACUGCUCUCAUCUUGAGUGUGCCCAAGCAGAAACCUGGAGAUGAAACCUAAGAAACGCCAAGGACGUCUGCAUUUCUAAUUAUCUAUACUAAGAUCUUCGGCUAGGGAAACCAUUGCGAGAGUUGCAGCUGGAUCUCUUGCCAAGAAGAUUUUAAAGUUGUAUUGUGGAUCUGAGGCGUAGGUUUUGGCAUGAUCUUUUAUGAACUGAUUUAUUUGCGCUCCAUGCUUUCUAUACAAGGAAACAGACUCACCGAAUAAACUAUAAGUUUGGCAUCUUAAUUUACCUUAUUGAUUGAAACUUACCAUAUACAAGGUGUUGCAUUUUUGUAUUGCAAGUCUUACUAGUUACGUGGCUUUAUUUUAGAUAACUAUAUGCCCAGACUUAAUGUUGGAAGUAGCAGCUGAUUUUGGUCGACAAGUAGCUGGCCGGCUCCCUUGCUCAAUACUGUUGCAGGUGUACACCCUUCUGCAAGUCCACACUCUUCUUCUAGUCCACGUUCAAGGAAUGAAUAUUUUUCAGUUGUCUCUUUGUCUUUAUGAACCUUAAAACUUACAUAUGACUUAGUGUGCAUGAAUUCAAGAUUUGAUUACUUCUUCUUGUGUGAUUUUGAUUCCAACUGUCAACUGAAUUCAGUCAUGGAUUGUGUAACUAAUAUAAAAAGUUUAUAUUUAAAUGGUAA